UGUGUAGGCGGUCCCUUAAGUUUGGUGUGAAAUCUCCCGGCUCAACUGGGAGGGUGCGCCGAAUACUGAAGGACUAGAGUGCGGGAGAGGAGAGUGGAAUUCCUGGUGUAGCGGUGAAAUGCGUAGAUAUCAGGAGGAACACCGGUGGUGUAGACGGCUCUCUGGACCGUAACUGACGCUGAGACACGAAAGCGUGGGUAGCAAACAGGAUUAGAUACCCUGGUAGUCCACGCCCUAAACGAUGCAUAUUGGUGUGGGCAGUUCAUUCUGUCCGUGCCGGAGCUAACGCGUUAAAUAUGCCGCCGUGGGGAGUACAGUCGCAAGGCUGAA
rnacentral:rRNA from 1 species